ACUGGAGCUGUUCCUAUUCGGCCAUCUUGGCUCCUCCGCAUUUGUUUUUAUGGUGGUUUUGUAUUGUUUUUAUAGAGCUGCCCUCACAUGCUUCAGCAACAUUAGAUGUUCUGGAGACUGGAAAGUCCAAGAUCAUGGUGCCUGAGGAUUCAGUGUCUGGUGGACCCUAUUUAAUGUGGGAGAGGAAUACAUAAAAAGGUGGAUAUCAUGAGGUGAAAAUCAUUGGAGACCAUCUUGGAAGCUGUCUAACGCAACAAGAAUUAUUUUAUUUAUGAUUUAUUUGAAGUCUUUUUUUAUUUAUAAUCUGUUUUACUUGGAAUGAUUGGUUAUCAGACUCAGCACGUUUUCAAAUCUGUAUAACAGAUGCUAUCUUGUUUGUCAUUAGGUAAGUUCACCUGAAACCCUCAGGCAAGCCUUUCAGAACUAAUGCCUGUUGUAAUUCCCUUAUUUCUUAUGUGAUUUAAAUUGUGAAAAGCCCAUAUUUCUUUUGAAAAAUCAUUGCUUGUCUUUUGUCUCUGAUGUUAGCAUGUUUUCAGGCAAUGUUUUUGAAGUUAAAUAUAUUUGUUGUUUAGAGAUGACUUUUCUCUGCCCUUUUAUUUUACAUACAAGGGUACUAGUAUCCAGAGAGGUCAAGUGGCUAAGGAUGCAAAAUUUGUAAUAAAAUUUAGGUUUUCUGAAUCUUAAUCUUUAGUAUUU
rnacentral:lncRNA from 1 species